UAGGGAAUCUUCGGCAAUGGGGGCAACCCUGACCGAGCAACGCCGCGUGAGUGAAGAAGGUUUUCGGAUCGUAAAGCUCUGUUGUAAGUCAAGAACGAGUGUAAGAGUGGAAAGUUCACACUGUGACGGUAGCUUACCAGAAAGGGACGGCUAACUACGUGCCAGCAGCCGCGGUAAUACGUAGGUCCCGAGCGUUGUCCGGAUUUAUUGGGCGUAAAGCGAGCGCAGGCGGUUUGAUAAGUCUGAAGUUAAAGGCUGUGGCUCAACCAUAGUUCGCUUUGGAAACUGUCAAACUUGAGUGCAGAAGGGGAGAGUGGAAUUCCAUGUGUAGCGGUGAAAUGCGUAGAUAUAUGGAGGAACACCGGUGGCGAAAGCGGCUCUCUGGUCUGUAACUGACGCUGAGGCUCGAAAGCGUGGGGAGCGAACAGGAUUAGAUACCCUGGUAGUCCACGCCGUAAACGAUGAGUGCUAGGUGUUGGAUCCUUUCCGGGAUUCAGUGCCGCAGCUAACGCAUUAAGCACUCCGCCUGGGGAGUACGACCGCAAGGUUG
rnacentral:rRNA from 1 species